rnacentral:rRNA from 1 species
AGUGAACGCUGGCGGUAGGCCUAACACAUGCAAGUCGAACGGCAGCACAUUAAUAGCUUGCUCUUACGGGUGGCGAGUGGCGGACGGGUGAGGAAUACAUCGGAAUCUACUUUUUCGUGGGGGCUAACGUAGGGAAACUUACGCUAAUACCGCAUACGACCUCCGGGUGAAAGCAGGGGAUCUUCGGACCUUGCGCGAUUGCAUGAGCCGUUGUCGGAUUAUCUAGUUGGCGGGGUAAAGGCCCACCAAGGCGACGAUCCGUAGCUGGUCUGAGAGGAUGAUGAGCCACACUGGAAGUGAGACACGGUCCAGACUCCUACGGGAGGCAGCAGUGGGGAAUAUUGGAAAAUGGGCGCAAGACUGAUCCAGCCAUACCGCGUGGGUGAAGAAGGCCUUCGGGUUGUAAAGCCCUUUUGUUGGGAAAGAAAAGCAGCAGGUUAAUACCCCGCUGUUCUGACGGUACCCAAAGAAUAAGCACCGGCUAACUUCGUG